CCCAGACUGCAGCGGCACCGCGGCCGCGGCUCGGGCCUGAGCCACGGGCCCCGCCUUCCUUUCGGCCCUGUUUGUCCUACUUCUGUUUCUCUUCUCCAGUGAAAGUGAGAGAGAACAAAUGGAUGGAAGUUCUGCUGUUAACCAAGUUUUCAGAGCAGAGAGAUGCCAAAGCAUGGACUGGACUCUGAAGAUCCUUUCACCACUCUCUGGAGUGUGCAGCUUCUAAAAGAGUUGUUUUUCUAUCUCUCCAUGGCCAUCUUAGUAUCACUCAUGCAAAGCAAGAAAGACAGGGAAGAUCCUAACAUCCAGGAUUUUCUUCUCUUCUUUGACUGGCAGUAAUGCUGUUCCUAAGUGCUGCCACUAUUCACCCACGGAAAGGAAUCUUUUCCAACCUGCAUAACUGUCAAAAAUGGACACAUAUGAAUGAGCCCUGUAUAGGCUGAGAAUUGCAAUAUCAAAGCAGCAUUAUUUACACAUCCUAUCAGAAAACACUGGUCCUAGGCUCCCCCAUUGCCCUUGUCUCCUGCUUAGUUUAACCCCAGGCCACACAGCAUGGCUUACUAAUUGUGGAAUGCUGUUUUGAAUACAGGGUUCAAAUUGCAAAUUUAAACUGCAGAUUUAAUCUUCCGAGAACUGUUGAGAUGUAUGUAAUUUUCUUCCACAAAAGCUGAACAAAGAGAGGGUAUAACAUUAUGAUUGUGUAAAUCUUCUUUCAACACCACCAUUGUACAAAGUGUAGACUCAGUGAUUGAAUAGCAACAAACAAAAGUCUCUCUUCAAUUAAACUUCUGUGACUCACACACAGAAGGCUUCAUCUAACAUAUCUACUAUAAUUAGAUUCCUCCUUUAAGGUAAAGUGCUUUUGUUUUAAAACAUGUUCGUAAUAAUGCCUGAAAAAAACAACAUGAUAAAGAUCAGAUAUCUGUUUUGUUCUGAUUCAUUCCUUUAAAGAAAAGUCAGAAUUUUACACUGGAGUGGUUUAAAUGUAGCUGUAGAAUUAUACAAAGAAAAAAAAUCUAACUAAAAAUAGCAUGGAUUUUUUCUGGUAUCACAUGAAUAUCCAUCACAAGCCAGCACCUAUAAUCAAUUUGUAUACAGUAGGUAAAUGACAGUCCGUAAGUUAAAAAUAUUUCAACAGUAGUAGCUAGGGGGAAAAAGUCAGUAUGUUUCUACUUACAGCAAUUUCACAAAUUUAGUGGAAGCCUAAAAUAACUUUCAGAUGAGAAGUAGAUAUUUUAUAGUAAGAAAAUGUGUAAAAUAUUCAUUGUGCAGCAACAUUCAAAGGCAGUAGGUCAUCAGUAUUCAUUGUUCACUAUUAAAUAUAAUAAAUAUAGCUAUUCUGUGACAGAAACACUAACCUGCUGCAUAAAAAAACAUAGUGUGGGAUGUUAUCCUUGAGGCCUUAAUGUACCACAUUCUUUCACAUAUUGGCAUGCAAAUCAUCUUCACAGAGGCAGUACAGAACUUCUCCAGUUUUAAGAGCUGUUCUGUUAAAAUUGAGUAGAUGAGUCAGAUUUUCCCUCACAUGAAGAGAUGAGGGAGCAAAGUGAUGUGUGCUCUCCAUAACACAGAAGUGCUUUUAUACCUGCACCAUAUUCUGUAAACUUUUCUUCAUCCAUUGCUGCAAUGAGCCCCAAGAGUCUCAGGAAGACUGAGGAUAUGGCCCAAUAGAUUUGUGUAGCUCUUGUGUUUAUGUGGCAGUGUUGCAAGAUUUAUACCCAUGGACUGAAAAGAUAGAGAACAGACUGACCUCAAAUAUAUGCAAAUAAAAAUUUAAUCAUCUGGUGUAUUUUUGAUAUACAUAUGUGAUAGGGGGGAAGUUUGGGCCUGUAUAACAAAAUGAAGCUAAUGUUAAGUGGAUACUAAUGUUUCCCUUUUUUUAAUUGCCUUUUAUUUAUUUAAAUAAUUCAUGGCACUUGGGAAUAUGGUUUAGGGAUGACUGGGGAGAUGCUAGAUUGACAGUUGGACUAUAGGAUCUUGGAAGUCCCUUCCAACCUUGAUGUUUCAAAUGAGUCUAUGGUUCAGUGUUGCUGUGAAUGAAUGAUAUUUACAUAUUUUACAAGUGAAACUGGGAAGAUAAUUGCCUUUGUUUUCAGUUUGAUGCCUGAACUUGAGGGAGUAAGAGGAGUAGAGAUCAGGGAUCGGUUCAAAUCCAACAAAGGCUUUUUUAAGGCAGAAGUAUUGGAUUCUGGCCUCCAUAAGAACGGUGUAGAAUGCCCUUGUCUCCUAGGUGAAAAAACAAUGACUCAAAGCUCCUCCUAGUUCGCUUCUUUCCAAGAAACAGAGAGGGGACUUUCCUGUCUCCAAUGCUGAAAUACUAGCCUAAUAUUGCAGCAUAUCCUAAGGCACAGUAGGGCAUAACAAACCUCCUAUUGCCAUGGAUGGCGAAAGAUCUGAGAAGAAGCAGAUGGUGGAGAUCUUGUCUCAUAAUUGUGGGCAAGGAAAGCCCCCUUUCUGUUCUUGAUUUUAGCUGUUUUUAUUGAAUUGUAGGUGCCAAAAUAUUUUUAGGGUUCUGCAGGUGUAGCUGGUCUGCUUUCUCCGUUGCUAGUGCCACUCAGCUCCCUUGUAGCCUUUCCAGUCUUCUCUACAACCAGGUGUGGGACCCAUCUAGGAAGACACAUAUUAAUUUUUCUUGUUCCUCCCUCUGUGGAAAAGAUUGAGCUAAAUAUAACCUUUCCCAUCUACAACUCUAUACUGCUAUUAUAUAUGACAAUUUUCAUCCAAGAGAAUAGAGUACUGUGUCUCCAAAGGUUAUCUCUUUUGUUCUGCGUAAAGGGACGACACAAUAAAAACAGUCUUCUUUUCAAAGGAGACCACACAGGUGUCCCUCAUGCUUGUUUUACUUUUUUGGUCACAUAGUCACUGUCACCAUAGGUGACACAAAUGAUUUCUCUUUUCCUUUACACUGGCUGCUUUUGGAAUCUGUCUGUGAGUGUCUUCUGCAGUAUUUAAAUGAUGCUGUCUUUCCAGAAGCUCUUUUCAAGCCCUGUUCCCCCUUACUGAUUUAUAGGUCAUGCUUUGAUGCGCAAAGCUCCAAAUGAAAUGGAGUUCAACCAGUAGUAGAUCAAGGUGUGCUACAGCUAGACAAUAAACAUUUUAUUAUUUAGUUAUUUAUUUUUGCUCUUUUUUGAUUUGUGUUAGAAUAAAAGCCAUAGCAAUAAGUGUGCAAUUGUUAUGUCAGUAAGUUUCGGGUUAAUAUUUUCCUAUUCCCUGUAUCAUUGUAAAAUGUUUACUGUUCCCAUUCUAUUGCUCUCUGUAAAGCUUCUGGCAGCCCUAGCUGUGUACUUAAAAUAGAAUAAAAUAUUUAUUUUUAAAA